UGGGGAAUUUUGGACAAUGGGCGAAAGCCUGAUCCAGCAAUGCCGCGUGUGUGAAGAAGGCCUUCGGGUUGUAAAGCACUUUUGUCCGGAAAGAAAUCCUUGGCUCUAAUACAGUCGGGGGAUGACGGUACCGGAAGAAUAAGCACCGGCUAACUACGUGCCAGCAGCCGCGGUAAUACGUAGGGUGCAAGCGUUAAUCGGAAUUACUGGGCGUAAAGCGUGCGCAGGCGGUUUGCUAAGACCGAUGUGAAAUCCCCGGGCUCAACCUGGGAACUGCAUUGGUGACUGGCAGGCUAGAGUAUGGCAGAGGGGGGUAGAAUUCCACGUGUAGCAGUGAAAUGCGUAGAGAUGUGGAGGAAUACCGAUGGCGAAGGCAGCCCCCUGGGCCAAUACUGACGCUCAUGCACGAAAGCGUGGGGAGCAAACAGGAUUAGAUACCCUGGUAGUCCACGCCCUAAAACGAUGUCAACUAGUUGUUGGGGAUUCAUUUCCUUAGUAACGUAGCUAACGCGUGAAGUUGACCGCCUGGGGAGUACGGUCGCAAGAUUAAAACUUAAAGGAAUUGAC
rnacentral:rRNA from 1 species